UGUCGUCAGCUCGUGUUGUGAAAUGUUGGGUUAAGUCCCGCAACGAGCGCAACCCUUAUCCUUUGUUGCCAGCGGUCCGGCCGGGAACUCAAAGGAGACUGCCAGUGAUAAACUGGAGGAAGGUGGGGAUGACGUCAAGUCAUCAUGGCCCUUACGACCAGGGCUACACACGUGCUACAAUGGCGCAUACAAAGAGAAGCGACCUCGCGAGAGCAAGCGGACCUCAUAAAGUGCGUCGUAGUCCGGAUUGGAGUCUGCAACUCGACUCCAUGAAGUCGGAAUCGCUAGUAAUCGUGGAUCAGAAUGCCACGGUGAAUACGUUCCCGGGCCUUGUACACACCGCCCGUCACACCAUGGGAGUGGGUUGCAA
rnacentral:rRNA from 1 species